rnacentral:lncRNA from 1 species
GGGGCGGCGCCAGCCGCCCCGCGUCGCUUCGGUUCGGGAGCUGACUGGGGAGCUGCGUGUGAGCUGCGUGUGAACUCAGAGGGAUGCAUGGGUUGAGCCCAUGUUGGGUACUCUGGGCGCACACGGUUUCACACGGUUGACCAGGACCUCGCGGGGCGGAGCCAGCCGCCCCGCGCCUGGAUGCGACCUAUGUGCGAAGGAAACACGUGCGGUUGAGCGGCGAGCUUUGCACGUCGCGGCGGAGCGUUUGACUCCCCCAGUCGGGCGAGUUGGAUCUGAGCGCACACGGUUGUCACACGGUUGACACCGGGACCCCUGCGGGGCAGCGUCAGCCGCCCCGCUGCGCUGAGAAGCCCCAAUGAGCCCGCGGGAUGGCGUGGCAGGGCGGGCUAGUGGAGUGCAGCCACGCGUGCGGCGGUACAGACCCGAAAUCAGCCCCUGCACCCAGCUAUAAGUAUUGAUACCCGAAUGUUGUCGUUGCCUGCACCUACGUUUGCGCGCUUCUUAGCGGGGGGUGCCCCCCCGUGCAUCCCCCCUCCAGCAGGCGGAGGGACAGCCUCCCCCCUGCUCCCCCCUCCCAUCCGAAGCAUCCCCGCAUGCCAGCUCCCGUAAGCCCUGCGCCAAAGCAUAUAUCUUAGAAGAAGCUUGGGGAGGGGGGUGCAGGGGGGAGGGUGUCCCUCCCCACGCUAGGCCGAGGAGCACGGAUCGGGGGGAGGGGGGGCGCGGUUGUCGCCGAGCUGCCACGAGUUUGCAGCGCAUCCGCGCAUGUUUGCAGCACUUCGCAACUGUGCAUGAAUUCGCGCCCCAAUGAUAUCAACGUUAUUGCUUUGCGCAUCUCGCAUCAUCAUCGGCCCAAUCCCCUGACACAUAGUUACGUUACUUACAUACAUAGAAACAUUCCAAGAGGAGAACCUCCAUAUUGAUGAGAAUUGGGGGACUCAUUCGUGACUGUGACCGCCUGCCAAGGAAGCUACUGUAUAUGUAGAUAGCUGGGCUAAAGAGCCUGUGUAACCAAAAGAAAAUAUGCAAAAAAAAUGUUUCAGCAGGGCGGCACGCGCAGAGAAUGCCAGGCAUGCCAAGCUGGUCCGCGAUCUUGCGAAAGAGUUUGGCAAGGACGCGACCUGGCAGCUGGCCGCUAUGGACGCCUUGAGAAAGGCAAAUCCUGACGAACUUGAGUUGAUGCACGGCCUCACCGCGGCCAAAACGCUGGAGUUUGUGGAUGCCCUUAUUCAGUUUAAGAGUAGGUCAGGGAAUUAUGGGCGCUCAAGCCCGGAUUGGCGGUGGAGAUCCGUUCGAGAAGCUUGUACAGUUGUAGUCGGGAGGUUGUAUCUUCAUGCGUUCCGGGCGAGCUCCUCAAGCUUUUGGUCCUGCGGCUUGAUUCACCACGUGACCCCCGACCGCUAUUACCAUGUCGUGCAGCCUCGGCGGCUGGCCUGGGCGUGGGGAGCGCGUCCGGAGCUGGUGAGUUAGAGUUAUCUGUCCCGUGGGACCUGCUCCCGUACGCGCAGCUGGAGUUGAACGGCCGGUACAGCAACGCGGUACCGGAGCCGGUCGGCCGGUGGGUGUACCGUGCUGACGCCCGCCGCGCCCGCCGCAGCAACAGCACCAGCAGCAUCACCAGCAGCGGUAGCACAGGCGCUGGCAUAAGCACUCGCUGCGCUAGCAGCGCCAGAGACAUCAGCAGCGAGCGCGUGGUUGUGCGCUUCGUGCGGCGUUACGGCGCCGACGCGCACCGCGCCUGGGCGGCGGCGGGGCUGGCGCCGGCUCUGUACGCGGUGCGACCGCUGGCUGGCGACUGGCUGCUGCUCGAGAUGGAGCUGUUGUCAAAGGAGGCGGGCUGGGUCAACCUCGCCCAACUGGUGGUGGCGGCGGCGGACGCUGCCGCGGCUGCUGCUGCUGCUGCUGCGCGCGGUGGCGCCGGCGGCGGCGGCGCAACGGCGGCGGCGGCGGCGGGAGGACGCGAUGGCGCGAGCUGGGCGGCGGCGGACGGAACAAUCCCGGCUCUGGCAGCUAUGCAGCGCGCGGUAGCGUCUGUGCGCGCGGCGCUGGACCGGGCUCACGCCGUGCAGUCGGCCAGGCGCGGCCGGGGCCCGGGGCGGGCCGUGGUGUUCGCGCACGGCGACGUGCGGCCGCAGAACAUCAUGGUGCGGCUGCAGGAAGGAGGCAGAGCCGGCCUCGGCGCUGGCGGCGGCAGCGAUGAAAGCAGUGCCGACGCUGGCGGCGGCGGCGUUGGCGGUGAAGGGUACGACGUGCGCUUCCUCGACUUCGAGGUGGGUGUCUGGAUGUGCGGGUGCGGCUGCAUUCUUCAGCCGGUAGGGUCAGACGUGGGGUUCCGGCCAGCAGUCGGCCAUUAUCUGGCUUACACUGCUGCGCCCUACCUACGUACGCUGCUGCGCCCUGCCUACCAACGCUGCUGCGCCCUACCUACAUCGCUGCGCCCACGCGUACACGCACCACCCCGCGGUGUGUCCCCGAUCGCCCACUCGCCCCUGCCACCUGCCCCACCCCCGCCCCUUGCCGGCCAACGCUGCUGCACGCAGUUUGCUGGCGCGGUCGGCGCCGCACGCUACCCGCCGUCCCUGAACAUGGUGCGGAUGGAGGCCGGCGCGAGUGCAUGCAUCGGCCUGUUGCUGUACAGUAAAGUGCGGUACAGUACGAUACCGUGCGCGUAAUGUGUUUUGUCCCGCCCUCUCAUCACUUCUCCGUCAGCUCCGUCAGGCGCCAGUUCUUAAAUGGAGACGCUGGUCCCCUUCUUGCAGUUGCUGCAAUUCACGGCAACGUAGCUCCCGCCUGAUCGCAUGACCGACCUCUCGAUGUAGCUUUACUUCCCGCACUGUUUGUUGGUACAACCUCCACCGGGUAUCACACCAACCACCAACUUCUGCUGUCGCCGUUGCGCAAUUCCUCCUCCAGCCCAACAUUUGCAUGCAGGUCACGCACUCAGCUCUUGCACCACAGAAUUUAUGCACUUAUAUGCAACUUUAUAUCGUCGCGCGACGGUCAGGCUACUGGUUACCUAGCGGCACUAGCGGUGUCUGCCACCCUGCUGAUACCAGGCGCAGCUGCUAGCCCGUCUUGACCUGGCCUUGAGUCUCAACGUGCGUGUGCGUGUGCGUAGCAGUACACGAAACAAAAAGACAUUCCAGGAUAUAAACGCCGCAUGCUUGGCCCCGACACGCAAUUCACAGCAGAUCCAGGCCGGAAAGGCCUCCCUCUGCUCUCCCUCCACCAUACCCUCACCCACCCCACCGUAGCGUAGCGACUCAGGCAGCGUGUCGGUCGAGCUGCGCUCGACCCGCGGCAGCUGCGGGUCCUCGACCCAGCCGGUGAUCUGGCCAGGCAUAGUAUGGGAUACUUUAUGGCUUUGCAAAGCAUAAAACAAUGCACACUGAGCGGAUACCGGUAGGCGCGCAAGUUGGCCCACCCAUACCACAUACAGUACUCGUGGCGAUUUGUGCGCCGUCACCGGCCUCUCCCCCUUGUUCAUUGUCCGCCGUCUGUGCCCGGCCUGCACCCGCUUCCUGGAGUCGAGCGAUCAACGCCAGCCUGUCAUGCCACGUGCCUGUCCCUCAGCCCCGUUGCCAGUAGUUCUGUUGCUUGCGGUAUUGUGAUGCACGGAACCCUUCUACCCACGACAUUACUGCAGGACGUCGCCUGGCCAGCCGGCGUGGAGUUCGACGCGCCGGUGCUGCAGGAGCACGACACCGCGCUGCUAUCCUUAAGCAUCGAGCAGAUGUGGCUGCGGGCGGCGAGCACCGCGCCUCAGCCGCAGCCGCAGCUGCAGUUGCCGCAGUGGCUCCAGCAAUGGCGGGGUGCCGGAACGGCAGCGUCUGCUGCUGCCGCUGCUGCAGCCGGCGCGCCCGCUGCCGACGGAAGUGGCGUUGAGGCAAGGGACAGCGGUAGCGCGCCCAGCGCGAGCCGGCGAGGCAGCAGGCGGCGCGGUCAGCAGCAGCAGCAGCAGCAGCAGCAGCAGCAGCAGCAGCGCGGCUCGCCGCCUGCUAGCAGCACGGCCAACGCCCCGGCGGCUGCGCCGAAGCCGCCAGAGCCCGCGGGACAAUCCUCACCGGCCAACAGCAGCGCGCCGCCUGGGCCGCCAGCAGUGGGUGAUGCCGGCCCGGCGGCUGCCGAGGGCACGGGCGGCCGCGGCCGCGGUCGGCCCCGUGGACGCAAGGGGCAGCAGGAGCAGCAGCAGCAGCAGCAGCAGCAGCAGCAGCAGCAGCAGCAGGGCGGGCCUGCUGCCGGCCGAGGCAUGGGCGGCGGCGACCGCGGCCGCGGUGGCCGCGGCCCCAAGCCACCCGCAUGCUUCUGCGUGCGGGCGACGGCAGCCGCGGCGGCGCCGGCCGUUUCGGCGCGCGCCCUGGCGAGGCCGUUGGUCGCCCGCCCCCUGAGGGCUGCUGUGUGGCUGUAGACUGCGUCAGUGUUGCGGCUGGCAUCUUGCCUAACAGGGUGGCGUUUUAGUGGGCGGAAUGGCGCAAUGGAGCAGCGCAACUACUGGAACAGCUCUUCGUGCACUAGAUUGAUGCAGGGGGGAAAGGAAAGGACCUGGUGGCGCGUUUCGCAGUGAUGAAGGCGGGAAAGGAAAGAAGCUUUAUUAAAGGUUCUCGGGGAAGAGUGCACUGGUGUGGGACGCAUGGGCCCCACUGGCCAUUACCACAUGUAGCAGUAGUCUGCAGCGGACAUACGGCGGCUAGUCCCGCUGCCAGCGGACAACACUGAAAGUCUGCGGGUGGUGACAAGUGUUCCCCGGUCACGGGAAAAGGGGCUGAGCCCCUCCACAGUCUGAGGCCAAACAACCUCAUCGCCGGGACAUAGCCGGGGUCGGUUUCCACAGGCACAUAGCCAAACCAGGUGCCUAGCAAUUGCGAUGCCAGCGGAAAAUCGUAAUGCGGGGUUAUUGGCUUUGUCGCCGCAACCUGCACGGAUGUUUAUGCUUAACCUUGAACCAUCACUGCCGGGCAAUGCUUGUUAAGGGCUGCGCGCUUUGCCGAAGGACUCAUCUACUAAACUUGCACUUGCGUGAACAUGGCCAGACGGGCGGUGUAUGAGUAGCGUUGGCGGCAGCUGCUGGGCAGCUGUGCAUUGACAUGUGGGUGGCACUCUGGCACUGCGAGAGGAGGAGUGGGGCUUGGGGGCAUGGGUUUUUUGCAGAGCCAUUGAAACAUCUGUUGUUGUAGCAGAGCCCGCAUGGGAUCCAGACACGGUGAGAGGCACGGCCGGUGGGCAAGUUGCAAGGGCUUGACGCAGCUUGCGCUGUUGCAAUGGGGCAGGGACGCGCACUUGAUACUGGGAAGUGUGCUGCCGAAGGCCAUGGCCUGGACGCAUGUGGAACUUAGGGUACAGCGAUUGGUCCCAGCGGUGCGGCGGGCCAGUCGGCCAAGGACUGACUGCAGCGCAAGGCGCGGACAGGGAUAGGAGGCGUCGUGACAGGGUACGCCGGUUAGAGCUUUUUGACGUGCUUGAAAAACGCAACACGCACAAGCGAACAUGACGUUGUAGAGCCGAGGCCAGUGAGCUAGCACAAGCAAAAGGAAAAGCAGGGGAGGACUGGAGGACUGGAAGAGGAGGAGAUGAUGUUACAGAAGCGGCGUGCCAAGUAUUUCUCCUGCGGUCAGUAGGCGGGCUGCUGGGCCCAUAUAUUUUUAGUCGCCACCGCACACGGCAAGCCAAGUGACCCCACCCACACCCGCAUGCAGAGACUAUGUUGCAAUUCACGCGCCUAACGCGGCGCACGGCCUGCUGCUAAUCAGCAAUCACCGGCUCCUGUUCAGCUAACACCUGCCUGAUAAGAUGCCAAAUGAACUGCUCGCUGCCUGAUAUGCAAUCAUCCGCGUGCCCCCCAGCGCCUAUCAUGCAUUCCCGCGAGUCCCACCCGCGCACCGCGGCUUCUCAGCGCAGCGAGGCGGCUGACGCUGCCCCGCGAGGGUCCCGGUGUCAACCGUGUGACAACCGUGUGCGCUCAGAUCCAACUCGGCCGACCGGGGGAGUCAAACGCUCCGCCGCGACGUGCAAAGCUCGCCGCUCAACCGCACGUGUUUCCUUCGCACAUAGGUCGCGCUCAUCUGCAUCCACGCGCGGGGCGGCGGGCUCCGCCCCGCGAGGUCCUAGUCAACCGUGUGAAACCGUGUGCGCCCAGAGUACCCAACAUGGGCUCAACCCCAUGCAUCCCUCCGAGUUCACUUGCAGCUCACACGCAGCUCCCCAGUCAGCUCCCGAACCGAAGCGACGCGGGGCGGCUGGCUCCGCCCCGCGAUGGUCCCAGUGUCAGCCUUGUGAAUCCGUGUGCGCUCAGAGGCAGCUCAUGGAAACAGGGUCAACCCCAUGCGUGUCUCUGAGUUUACACGCAGCUCACGCGCAGCUUCCCAAACGGCGCGCGCACGACUUUGCACUCCCACUCGCGCGCCGCGCCAAUCACGAGCCUCCGCCGUACUCUGCCGCAGCUUUCCAUCCACACGCGCCCCUGCAAAACUACCCACUCCCACUCGCGUGCCUGCCGACUAGCGCCAACUGCCCGUGUGCAACUGCUUCCUCACAGUCGCAGCUGCCGACUCCCAAGUCAACGCCUGUACGGCUGAGGGGGUUCGGGGUGCCGUACACGAGUUAGUUGGGGGUUAGUCGGAGCUGUCCUAGAACCUGGAUUACACUGUUUUGUGGUGGGGUUUGAGCUACGUCAGCUCUCCCUGGGGCUCGUCAGCGAAAGGGGUAUUCACAUGCUCGCACCAUUUCCGGCGCUGCUGGGCAUUCCACCUUGCCCAGUUAGUGAUGGACGGACACUGGAAGAAAUUAUGUGCCACGGCUGCUGUGAGUGAAGUUCUGCCAGUUGCACAGCGUGAUCGUGUAGGAACCCUAUCUGGGCGACAGCGCUGGUAUCAAGGGGAGGGCUCACACCGGCCGUGCACACACUCGCGAGGAGCAAGACAAGUUAUUCAAGUUUAUGUAGAAUGAUGCCAACCUAGAUAUCGCUCCUACGGGUUACGGGGUUUGUAGUUCAGCAGCGUACGCAACGAGGUGAGCUGCGGAGAGCUGCGCUUGCUUUGUCAGUGCCAUGCUGAGCGCACGAUAACAUAUAACUGUACCAGGUUAUCAGGACAUUCGAAUCUCAUUCCUUCUGCCAGCCUUUGCUGCAAUGCUCGCGAGCGCCGAUGGGGCGGGAACUGCCCCAAUCCCAGUCCCGACAGUAUUUUUUGACCCGCGGCGUUGACGUUCUUCACAAGCUCAUAAUCGCUGCUAUCCUCGUAGCUCUUGUUCACCACCCUUCACUAC